rnacentral:rRNA from 1 species
UACGUAGGGGGGCAAGCGUUGUCCGGAUUUAUUGGGCGUAAAGAGCGUGUAGGCGGCCUUACAGGUCAGCUGUGAAAACUCGAGGCUCAACCUCGAGACGUCGGUUGAAACCGUAAGGCUAGAGUCCGGAAGAGGAGAGUGGAAUUCCCGGUGUAGCGGUGAAUGCGCAGAUAUCGGGAAGAACACCCGUGGCGAAGGCGGCUCUCUGGGACGGUACUGACGCUGAGACGCGAAAGCGUGGGGAGCGAACAGG